rnacentral:sRNA from 1 species
CUCUCACCGCCAUGGAGUUCGACCUAGGAGCAGGUGAGCUCCUGGGGAGUGUGGAUGGGAGGUGCAGGGGGCCGGACUCAAGCCCAGAAGCUGCGUGCACCAACCACCCAACUUCUCUCCACAGCCCUGGAGCCCACCUCCCAGAAGCCCGGUGUGGGGGCGGGCCAUGGGGGAGACCCCAAGCUCAGUCCCCACAAAGUUCAGGGCCGGCCGGAGGCAGGGGCAGGUCCGGGUCCAAAGCAAGGACACCACAGCUCUUCCGACUCUAGCAGCAGCUCCAGCGACUCGGACACGGAUGUGAAGCCCCACGCUGCUGGCUCCAAGCAGCACGAGAGCACCCCAGGCAAGGCCAAGAAGCCCAAAGUGAAGAAGAAGAAGGAGAAGGGCAAGAAGGAGGCUCCCCACUGAAGGGCCCUGGACAGGGCUCAUUAAAUCUUCCUCUCUGCC